UACGUAGGGGUCCGAGCGUUGUCCGGAAUUACUGGGCGUAAAGAGCUCGUAGGUGGUUUGUCGCGUUGUUCGUGAAAACUCACAGCUCAACUGUGGGCGUGCGGGCGAUACGGGCAGACUAGAGUACUGCAGGGGAGACUGGAAUCCUGGUGUAGCGGUGGAAUGCGCAGAUAUCAGGAGGAACACCGGUGGCGAAGGCGGGUCUCUGGGCAGUAACUGACGCUGAGGAGCGAAAGCGUGGGGAGCGAACAGG
rnacentral:rRNA from 1 species